UACAGAGGGUGCAAGCGUUGUUCGGAAUUAUUGGGCGUAAAGAGCUCGUAGGCGGUCUGUCGCGUCGGCUGUGAAAUCCCGAGGCUCAACCUCGGGUCUGCAGUCGAUACGGGCAAACUGGAGUGUUGCAGGGGAGACUGGAAUUCCUGGUGUAGCGGUGAAAUGCGCAGAUAUCAGGAGGAACACCGGUGGCGAAGGCGGGUCUCUGGGCAACAACUGACGCUGAGGAGCGAAAGCGUGGGGAGCGAACAGG
rnacentral:rRNA from 1 species